rnacentral:rRNA from 1 species
UACGUAGGGGGCAAGCGUUGUCCGGAAUUAUUGGGCGUAAAGCGCGCGCAGGCGGUUUUUUAAGUCUGGUGUUUAAUCCCGGGGCUCAACCCCGGUACGCACUGGAAACUGGGAAGCUGGAGUACAGAAGAGGAGAGUGGAAUUCCACGUGUAGCGGUGAAAUGCGUAGAGAUGUGGAGGAACACCAGUGGCGAAGGCGACUCUCUGGUCUGUAACUGACGCUGAGGCGCGAAAGCGUGGGGAGCGAACAGG